rnacentral:lncRNA from 1 species
AAAUGCCCGGUCGUGAUGGCGCCUAUCACAAUACUAGGCAAGCCAAUCCAAACCAUCAACCACAAUAAAUUUCUUUUAUAAAACCAUUUUCUAACACUGAUUUAAAUCUCAAAUUCUCAUAAGAAAUGUAUAAAAUAGCUAAAAUGUGCGGAAAUCAGUAAAAUAUUAAACCGACACAGCCCAAAAUCUGGUGUCAUGAGUCUAGAGCCUCUAAAUAUACAAAUCCGGCUAUCUAAUACACAACAAGUCUAAAAUGCAGAAAAACAAGGAUAGGAAGGAAGAAAGCAGGGCUGCGGAUGCCAUGCAGCUACCUUGCAGUCUCCAGCAAACUCUGACAAUGCUGAGGACCCUCACUCUGCUGCUCGGGUACCUGGAUCUACACACAAGGUGCAUGGAGUAAUGUGAGCACACCAACUCAGUAAGUAACUAAAGGAAAUAAGGUCUGAAAGUAGUGACGAGCAGUAAAAAAAUCAUAUAGAGGAGUAAACGACAAAAUAUCAAGUCAACCUCAACAGUUUUAAAACCAGUUUCUUCAUAAAGCUUCAGUUUCAAUUGAAAUACUUUUAAUUCAUUUACUUAGCAGUUUUAAACAGAGGCUUAUUUUAAAAGAUGAGUGAAAUCAGCAAAAAUAUCAUAAAUGGGCCCCUCGAGCAAGGUAUCACUCAUAAAUAUAGCCUCUCGGGCAAGCCUCUCAGUCACUCGUGACUCAACUCUCUUCACUCAGUACUCACACUCAGCACUCAGGCUCAUAUACACCUCAUAAUAGUAAUAACCAUAAUAACUGCUGNNNNNNNNNNNNNNNUCUUGGGCGGAGUUUUCUGAUGACGAAUUCCUUUUUCCUUGCAAUAGUUUUCAAAGGGAUCACGAUAUUCACCACCAUUAUCAGUGCGAAUACAUUUUAAUUUCUUCCCCGUCUGUCUCUCAGCUAAGGCCUGAAAUUCUUUAAACACGCUAAGUGCUUGAUCUUUAGAUUUCAAAGGAUACACCCAAGGCUUACGAGAAUGAUCAUCAAUGAAGGUCACAUUAGGAGCAUACGACAUAUGGGUGUUGCAAUUUCAAUUCUUCUACUUCAUUUUGUUUUAGCCUUCAUUUAGGUUACAUGUUAUACACAUUUAGGCUACAUGCUAUACAUGUCAGAAUGGAACACACGGCUAAAUCUAAACUAAUAAUGGAAUGUGCACUGACCAAAAGUGAGACAAACGAAUCCCCCCUUUUUAAUUAAAAAGAUCAAAAAUAAAUAUAUAUAAAAAGUAGUAAAGAAAACUAGUAAGCAAUUUUGAUUCAAAUAAAAUAAGAUAUGUAAUUCAAACACUAACUACUCUAUUAUUUUUAUAAAAAUGAGUCCAUGAUAAUUAGAUACCAACAGAAACAUAUACUUAAUUCUUGGAAGCUUGGAUGCACAACAAAAUUACUCAAUAUUACUAAUAAACUAGUAAAACAUGGAAGGAUCUUAUGAGAAAUUAGGCCAUGAUAUUCCAAAUAGAGUAGAACAAGAAAACUUCCUUAAGCUACGAAAAUAAAGUAGACAACUGAUUUCCUCUUUAAACCCAUGUACCCUUAGAUUUAAAAUUAAACAAAAAUUCAUAUCCUUAAUCCAUGAAACUUAAGCUAUUGCAAUAAGUUUUAAUGGCUCUUUCAUGUUUCAGUUAUAUAGAAAACAGAUUAAAGUAAGAAAGAGAAAUAGAAUAGACCUGAGAGUUUAGCUUUCGAUUAAUAGAGCUUUGUCAAUUACAACAAGUGAAACGAGCCAAAUGAAUAGAUCCGCAACAGAAGAUUUCAACUGAAAUUUCCAAGCAACAACUGCUAACCUCGAUGGAACUCGACCGGACACCUCGAAUAGCACCUAAAAGGACCGAACUAACUCCACAAAUGCUUGCUUCGGUAGGGCUUGAACUCUCGAAACAAAAAAAAAUCAGCAAUUUGGACCAGUUUUCUAGUCUAUAGGUGUGCCUGAGCUUGAGAAGAUGGUGAAAGUGAAAGUUCUCACAUGACUGAAAAUGGUGCUAAAACAAUGAGUUUUUUAUGGUAUAAAUUAUUAGAGAAGAAGAUGGAGGUGGGUGACUGAAGAUGAAAAUACUAAUGAUAUAAAUGGCAAAAUUUAUGGUGGAGCUAUGAUGAUUUACUAGAAAAGAAGCUAUGAAGGUUGGUGUCGCUCUUUUGGAAAGGUAACGAGGUAGGAGAAAAUCACGCUUCCAAAGGAUACAUGGAGAAGAUGGUCAACGGAACUGGUUUCAAUGUAUUUGGCAUGAUAAUUAUCCAAUUACUCUUGAUAGCCUUCUUCACGUAACACAUAGAUAGCCUCUGUUUUUGGCGCGCCGUCUUUCUUUUCGUUCCGAGGAAG